rnacentral:rRNA from 1 species
CAAGAUGAGAUUUCCCAAUUAGUAAGACCCCUUGAAGACGACGAGGUAGAUAGGUUGGAGGUGGAAGUGCAGUAAUGCAUGGAGCUGACCAAUACUAAUCGGUCGAGGGCUUAUCCUAAAAC